UAGUCUAUAAAGAGUUCGUGUCUAUGAUGUUUAUGGCAACUGAAGUGUGUGUGUGUGUGUGUGCCAGUUGCCUUUUUAUUAUUUUUACUUUGAUGGAUUGUUAGUAAAGCAUGCAACCUAAUAGUUUGUCUAAACAAGCUAUAUUGUACCUCCAUAUCCUGAGUACUGAAUAUGUUGAAUUGAAGUUUCCUACUAGUUGUUUUCUACAUUUGAAUUUCAUGGUAGCAGGGACAAACAGCUAUAAACCCCUUUAGAAAAUGUUUGUGAUGGUUUGUCAUCAAGAGUUCAAAAACUUCUCACUUUUAAGUACUAGAAUUAUGGUGAUCAAACUACCGGCAUGUUAUAUCUACUUGUGCCAAGUCUAGGAAGCAAGAUUAAGGAUGGACAGGAAGAGAUUGGUACAAAACAUUCUUGGUUUACUAUAAAGGUCGCACUCCUAAGGGGGUCAUCACCGGCUGGAAGAUGCACGAAAUAAAUGCAACUAGUUUGCCAGAACAACAGCGGAGUUUCAUUCUGUGCAAAUUAAUUGAUAGGUCAGAUAAUGAAAGUUAUCUGCCAAACUACAAUGAAGGUGAACAGGUUUACAAUAUGGUUGGCUCUGAUUCCUAUCAGAUGACUAACUAUUCAACCUUCAAUGCUGGUGAAACAAGCUGGUCUGAAAACCAAGCAACAGAUAAUGGAAUUCCUCAACAGGAAGCUACUGAACUAGCACCAUAUCCGGAAUCAUUCGAUGGCUGGACAUUCGAUGGCUGGACUGGGCAGAAUUGCACAUCAAAUAACUGGCUUGUGCCACCAGAAGCAGAGCAAGGUCUCUUCUAUGAUAAUUUUGGCUCUUCCAUGUUCCCACCCGAAGCAUCCCAGUUCUAUGGGGACACCUACUGAGUUUAAGCAUAUCGAUCAACAUGGAAAAAAGAGUGAUGUUAGAACUAAUAUGAAUGUAUAAUAAGAGAGAUCAUCUAUGAUGAUUCAUCUCAACUCCAGUGUGUGUUUUAUUUUUAGUUUCUUGCUAUUUUGCUAUCUUCCUUAAUGUAAAAGUCUGUAUCAGGAACUAAUAUAGCUUGUUCCACCAAGGCUUCUGUACUUUUGAAUUCCAUGCUCUGCAGACAUUGAAUAAAAGUAUCUUAGGCACUUUAGCUAAUGCGGUCUUGCUUUAGUGGUAAAGGUUG
rnacentral:misc_RNA from 1 species